rnacentral:lncRNA from 1 species
CCUGUGAGGCAACUCUCCCAUGUCUCCUUGAUUUCACGGCCACCUCUGCAGGCGCCCUCUCUCGUCUCCGCCGCCAGCCCCCGCCUCUUUUCUCCGUAAGCUUGGGUCUCCCUGGGAGCGGGUCUGCCCUUGGGGGAGGUCUCUGGGCUCUGUGCCCUACAGCUCGGCCGACAUUCGGGGCAGACAGAAGCGGGGUUCGGCGCCCCCCGCGUGCACAUGUGCUAGCCCAGGCAGGAGGGAGCGCCUCGGCGGAGGAGUCAAGGAAGAGGGGGAGGGAGAAACGCUCCAGAACCUCGGUCCCGGGCGCCCUGGUCGGCCGCGGAGGAGCUGCAGCCUCCAACAGGAAGGUGUGGUCCCUGCCAUGCUAUCUGCUCUGCUCACUGACUGAAGGUGCCUGCAUCCCAGCUCUGCCAGGAAGCAAAGGCAGACUGGUGGCUUUCAAACAGAAAGGAGCUGGACCAGAAGGCUGGAGGAUGGAUUCGGGGCGUACUGUGCAAGACCUUUGCCAGAGCCUGAGCAAUUUCCAUCUCUACUCAGCUGGAUGGGCGUGGGGUGAAUAAAUUCAUUCAGUUCAUUGUUGCUCCACAGCUAACAAUAAAACUGGGAGCUGGAUCCAAAUGGUG